GCAGUUGCAGAAGCCAGGGCCAGCUGGAGCCCAGCUGUUUGCUCCGCUAGAGAGAUGAGGUUGUCUAUGGACUUCCAGCGGCUUCUGCUAUCAUAAAUAAUUUCUGAAAGUAAGAUAUCUCUAGCGCCUGGUAGGAACCUAUCAAGAGAUAGUUGGGUUGAUGUGAAACUUAGCGCACAAAAAUAAACAAUUUGAAUAACAGAAUCUCCGUUUUUGAGAUUGUCCUGGGUCAGGCUUUGUGACAAGCGCUUCACCGGCGCUAUUGUGUAACAAUCUGUGAGACAGGUGUUCCUAUCCCCGGUCUACAAAUGACAGUUGGCAGUGCUGGGAUCUUGCCCGGGAUCUUGCCUGGGUUUUCUUGACUUUAGAGCUACCUAUCAAAGAUAAAACGUGGCUAAUUAACCUGUCACAACCUGUUGAUUGUUCAAGCUAUCUUCCUGCCUCACCCUCCCAAGUAGCUGGGAUUACAGGUGCUGGGGAUACAGAGGUGAACACAACAGACAGGCGGGAUCUAUGUUAUUACAGAGGUGACAUUUUCAGGAUGUACAAACAAGGUGAAAUGACAUGAUGUCCAGGAUUUGCUUUAAUAUACAGCACUUCAAAAAAAAAUGCAGAAAGGGAUACAUGAAAUGAGAAAGGCAGCAAACUGUUGUUGAAGUUGGAUGAUGAGUACAGCCCUCCGUUAUUAUCCAAGGGGGAUAAUUCCUGGACCCCUACGGAUACCAAAAUCCAGGUAUGCUCAAGUUCUUUAUGAAAGUUCAUUGUAAUUAUUCUAUUAUAUAAAAGUUUCGAAAUUCUGUUGAUAAAAUGUAUUUUUAGUAGAGACGGGGGUUUCACCUUG
rnacentral:lncRNA from 1 species